UACGGGGGGAGCAAGCGUUGUUCGGAUUUACUGGGCGUAAAGGGCGCGUAGGCGGUCAGCACAAGUCGGUUGUGAAAUCUCCGGGCUUAACUCGGAAAGGUCAACUGAUACUGUGCGACUAGAGUGCGGAAGGGGCAACUGGAAUUCUCGGUGUAGCGGUGAAAUGCGUAGAUAUCGAGAGGAACACCUGCGGCGAAGGCGGCGACCUGGGUGGAUACUGACGCUGAGGUGCGAAAGCGUGGGGAGCAAACAGG
rnacentral:rRNA from 1 species